rfam:Felis catus isolate Cinnamon breed Abyssinian chromosome D1, whole genome shotgun sequence.
GCCUGGGUGGCUCAGUCGGUUGAGCAUCUGACUUCGGCUCAGGUCAUGAUCUCACGACUUGUGGGUUUGAGCCCCACGUCAGGCU